GACGAACGCUGGCGGCGUGCUUAACACAUGCAAGUCGAACGGAAAGGCCCUGCUUUUGUGGGGUGCUCGAGUGGCGAACGGGUGAGUAACACGUGAGUAACCUGCCCUUGACUUUGGGAUAACUUCAGGAAACUGGGGCUAAUACCGGAUAGGAGCUCCUGCUGCAUGGUGGGGGUUGGAAAGUUUCGGCGGUUGGGGAUGGACUCGCGGCUUAUCAGCUUGUUGGUGGGGUAGUGGCUUACCAAGGCUUUGACGGGUAGCCGGCCUGAGAGGGUGACCGGCCACAGUGGGCCUGGGAUACGGCCCAGACUCCUACGGGAGGCAGCAGUGGGGAAUAUUGCACGAUGGGCGGAAGCCUGAUGCAGCAACGCCGCGUUCUGGAUGACGGCCUUCGGGUUGUAAACCGCUUUCGCCUGUGACGAAGCGUGAGUGACGGUAAUGGGUAAAGAAGCACCGGCUAACUACGUG
rnacentral:rRNA from 1 species